rnacentral:rRNA from 2 species
GAACGUGCCCAGUCGUGGGGGAUAACUAGUCGAAAGAUUAGCUAAUACCGCAUACGACCUGAGGGUGAAAGCGGGGGACCGUAAGGCCUCGCGCGAUUGGAGCGGCCGAUGUCAGAUUAGCUAGUUGGUGGGGUAAAGGCCUACCAAGGCGACGAUCUGUAGCGGGUCUGAGAGGAUGAUCCGCCACACUGGGACUGAGACACGGCCCAGACUCCUACGGGAGGCAGCAGUGGGGAAUUCUGGACAAUGGGGGCAACCCUGAUCCAGCCAUGCCGCGUGCGGGAAGAAGGCCUUCGGGUUGUAAACCGCUUUCGGACAGAAAGAAAUCGCCAUUCCUAAUACGAGUGGUGGAUGACGGUACUGUAAGAAGAAGCACCGGCUAACUACGUGCCAGCAGCCGCGGUAAUACGUAGGGUGCGAGCGUUAAUCGGAAUUACUGGGCGUAAAGCGUGCGCAGGCGGAUAUGUAAGUCAGAUGUGAAAUCCCCGGGCUUAACCUGGGAAUUGCAUUUGAAACUGUAUAUCUAGAGUGCGUCAGAGGGGGGUGGAAUUCCACGUGUAGCAGUGAAAUGCGUAGAGAUGUGGAGGAACACCGAUGGCGAAGGCAGCCCCCUGGGAUG